rnacentral:rRNA from 1 species
CAGUAGCCGCGGUAAUACGGAGGGUGCAAGCGUUAAUCGGAAUUACUGGGCGUAAAGCGCACGCAGGCGGUCUGACAAGUCAGAUGUGAAAUCCCCGGGCUUAACCUGGGAACUGCAUUUGAAACUGUCAGGCUGGAGUCUUGUAGAGGGGGGUGGAAUUCCAGGUGUAGCGGUGAAAUGCGUAGAGAUCUGGAGGAAUACCGGUGGCGAAGGCGGCCCCCUGGACAAAGACUGACGCUCAGGUGCGAAAGCGUGGGGAGCAAACAGGAUUAGAUACCCCAGUAGUCCAUGUCUCUUAUAA